CUGUUACAGUUAAUAUACUUUAAUAUAGCCGGAAAUUUAAUGCUAAAUGGGUUGUUGUAGGCUUAAUUUUUUUAAUUAUGUUCACAUUAAUGUCAUUUUUUUUCUCAAAUAGUCUUUAUAUCAUCGAAAUUUAUACUCAAAAAGCAUAUUGAUGCAGUUUUUUCAAAAGGUAAGUUUAAUUUAGAUAAACAAUAUGGCUUUACAUUUAUCUGUAGUGCACUGUACCACAUCGAAUUUUGGGCAAUAAUACAACUCGGGUACAGUCUAAUAAGGACCGGGUACGUUUAAGUAUAUUAACCUUACCCGAGGUACAUGCAAGUAUGCUUAAUGAUACCAGGGGUACAUGUAAGUAGUACCCAAGCUGUGAAUAACCAAUCGAGCUUGAGUAAAGUAGAUUGUACUUUAUGUCUUUAAUAAUUGCAGAACAAUUACCUUAUUUAUUUCUAUAUGGUUUCCAUUUGAUUACAAUUUAUUUAUUUGUCAAAUUCAAUUCUGCAGUGCUAUAAAUAUGCACCCCCCAUCCAAAAAAUUUAUUUCGUGCAUAUUGAUGGGGCUUUUUUAUUUAUUUACUCCUUUUCUGCAUUCCUCCCUUUUGUGUUGGUAGUGUGAACAUGAAAUGAUGAGCACUUUCAUGUUAAUGAAUAACUUUUAUUUUUUUAUAGAUUUUGGCAUAUUGCAUAUUGCCAAGGGAGAUGCUUACUGAGGAUUCCAUGCCAUUAAUAUGCAGGCUGUUGCUGAUGCCAGCAUGAGCAAUAUCUGAGCACCAAUGAUGAGGGUCAUCUGCUGGGAGAUAGUGGGUAUCCGUUAAGGACUAACCUGAUGACCCCUUAACCUCAUCCCUCCCAUGCUGCGGAACAGGCCUACAAUGACCAUCUAUGUAGAGGAUAUCUGCAUGCCACUGGUGGAUGUUGGCCUUUCAAGUCCAAUAAGUGCUGUAAAAUAUCAACUGUGUACAUGCCCCUGCAUAACCUGUGUCUGGAUUCAAACGUUCCACUGAUAGAGGAAUUGGUUGGAAAUGUGAUGGAACCGGAAGUUAUGAACAACACACCAGUACAUCGAGCAGCAUGUGAUAAGAGGCAGCAGCUGAUCAAACUGUUUCAUAAAAUGUGUUAAAAAUUUAUAGUUAUAAAUGUUAUAAAGUGA